UGGGGAAUUUUGGACAAUGGGCGAAAGCCUGAUCCAGCAAUGCCGCGUGUGUGAAGAAGGCCUUCGGGUUGUAAAGCACUUUUGUCCGGAAAGAAAUCCUUGGCUCUAAUACAGUCGGGGGAUGACGGUACCGGAAGAAUAAGCACCGGCUAACUACGUGCCAGCAGCCGCGGUUAAUACGUAGGGUGCAAGCGUUAAUCGGAAUUACUGGGCGUAAAGCGUGCGCAGGCGGUUUGCUAAGACCGAUGUGAAAUCCCCGGGCUCAACCUGGGAACUGCAUUGGUGACUGGCAGGCUAGAGUAUGGCAGAGGGGGGUAGAAUUCCACGUGUAGCAGUGAAAUGCGUAGAGAUGUGGAGGAAUACCGAUGGCGAAGGCAGCCCCCUGGGCCAAUACUGACGCUCAUGCACGAAAGCGUGGGGAGCAAACAGGAUUAGAUACCCUGGUAGUCCACGCCCUAAACGAUGUCAACUAGUUGUUGGGGAUUCAUUUCCUUAGUAACGUAGCUAACGCGUGAAGUUGACCGCCUGGGGAGUACGGUCGCAAGAUUAAAACUUAAAGGAAUUGACGGGGUCAUAGCUGUUUCCU
rnacentral:rRNA from 1 species